CCUUUGCAGUUUAGUCUACUUGAUCUAUUUUUUAUUUUGUUUCCUGCAUUAUUGUUGUCUUUGCUUCCAGCUUAUGGUAUAUUUUAUCAGUUGAUUGAAAUCUUUUUUGUUGCAUGUUGCAGCACCAGCCCUGAACUUCUACUGAAUCCUGUAAUGGCAGAUGAACUUGAAAACAUUCUAACUAAGAAGUUUCUCAGAAUUUUGUCAAUGAGGGCAGAAGCAUUUCAAGUGUUAAGGAGAAAGCCAUUACAGGACAUUGAUAAAUAGAUAAGUGAAUUGAAAAUGUCAGUUAACACAUGAGGUAGGCUGGUGGCUACCGAGUUUCUGAAGCAAUUCGUACCAAGAUUGGAAAAUCUCUAUGGUUUUGGAUGUCUGAUUUUUAAUCAUUGACCAGUUUAUGGAUCAUAUUGAUUACCCUUGAAGAUUAUCUCUUCACUGUUUAUGUACUUUCAGGAUCUUG